GCAAGCGCCUCCUGAAUAUUCGGGCACCCUGAGAGGAAACUUCAGGUGUGAAUGUGGUCAAACUCAAGGAAGCCUAAGUUCUGUUAGGAUAAGGUAAUCUUGAGCCAAGCUUUAUCUCAGAUGAAGAUAAAGAAGGUGCAGAGACUCAACGGCCACCGCCUAAAGGCUUUUUAGCUGAUGGUGAAGAAAGAGUCCAGAGAGUGGGGAAACUCACAC
rnacentral:ncRNA from 1 species